CGGUUACUCAGAGAACGACGAUGAACAUGAUUUCGAUUAUUGUCCAUCUUCAUAAGAUGGACAAUAAUCGAAAUCAUGUUCAUCGUCGUUCUCUGAG
rnacentral:pre_miRNA from 1 species